rnacentral:rRNA from 1 species
CGGACGUAGGUAACCUGCCUGGUAGCGGGGGGUAACUAUUGGAAACGAUAGCUAAUACCGCAUAAUAGUAGAUGUUGCAUGACAUUUGCUUAAAAGGUGCAAUUGCACCACUACCAGAUGGACCUGCGUUGUAUUAGCUAGUUGGUGGGGUAACGGCUCACCAAGGCGACGAUACAUAGCCGACCUGAGAGGGUGAUCGGCCACACUGGGACUGAGACACGGCCCAG